UCUCAAAUCUCUGCAGCCAUUGCUUAACUCAUUUGACUAUCGGUCGAUCGGAAAGGAGACAUUAAGUCCAGUAAUUGCCCCCAUCCGCGCUUUGAAUCCAAAUUGUGAGUUAUGGUCGACGUCAGGGAGAAAAAAAAAGCCCUGAGGGCGAAGCUGCUUCUGCUGCUGCGUACGGCCCGAUGUGCUGUCUGGAUGUCGUGAAAUGGCCAGUUAGAAAGUGUGAGAGAGACAAUGAUCGGCUCUGCAUGACGCCGCUGGGAGCCCCAAAUCUCAGCUGUGGACCCCCCCACCCCUUUUUUUUUCCAAUAGUUGUUCUCUCUGGGAGAUAGGACUCCUCAGAUUACGGUCGAAAAACAUUGUCAUCUGAUCAGGAAAAUCCAUCACACCAGGGAGUGCAAAGACCUACAGCAUGGCUAUCUGACUGAAAAAGCAGAGUGACCAGUCCAGUGCUCUUACUGUCUGCCAGGGUAUAUGCUGUUGAAGCUCUACAAGCAAGUCCAGGGGGUGGAGACCGACCUCAUUAGUCUCAAAAAAGGAUGACACGCGAGUAAACUCGUUUUCUCCGACUCCCCUCAUAGAUGUAGAGCUUUUGACCAUGAUGACACCUGAGCUCCAUGCGCUGAAGAAGACCUGGACUCAUCGAGAAGCCAAGUAAGUGAAAGUUGAGUUGUCUUUUACCACAGAUAUGCUUUUUUUAAGAUUAAAAAAUAAAGCAUAAUUCUUCAAGCAUUUUAAGGGGUUUCUGAAAAAAAUGCAUGAUUCUAAAUCAUAAAGUCAUGAAAUUGGGAUUUAAGAAUCUCUGCUGCUAAAGACAAUUGUGAUUUUGUCCAAUCCAGUGUAACUUGAUAUUCAUACACUGAAAGUGAAAUAAUAACUUUAUAAAAGCCAGUAAAAGUACGGGAGUGGAAGGAGAGACAUUGUUUUAGGGAAGAUGAUGAGAUCGACAGGAAAUUAUGCUGGAAACGUUAAAGUCUCAAAUUAAGUUCAACAUUUCUUCUCUUAAGCCAACACAGCACCCAGCUCUUAGACUCCGGGUUCAGUGAACCUGUUCUUAUAUCUUUCUUGCAAAGCAUUUUCAAUUAACCUACAUGCAUGCAGAUAUAAAUGUAGACCAGUGAUGUGAUAAAAGAGACACAGCUGCAAAAGAUCACAAAAAACGUUGCUUUCACUGUGAAAUUUACUCACAAAAAUGAUACGGUCCGUUCUAUCCUGAACUCCUCACUGAGUAAGAAAAGGGGUCAGCCAUUUGCCUGGAAUUCAUCAAGCUAACGUAUUGUGUUAGGCGCUGGUGUAACUGGUUGGGUGACACAGACAAAAUAGCACAAAUCUCUAUUCAAACCAGACAUUAACUGCUUCGUACAACGUCUUUUUAAAAAAACUGCCUGCUCUCUCAGCUUGUGUCAGUCUCAU